rnacentral:rRNA from 1 species
AUUGAACGCUGGCGGCAGGCCUAACACAUGCAAGUAGAGCGAGCGGCGGACGGGAGAGUAAUGCCUGGGAAUUGCCCAGUCGAGGGGGAUAACAGUUGGACACGACUGCUUAUACCGCAUACGAUGGGCUUGCACAGGUGGGAUUAGCUAGUUGGUGGGGUAAUGGCUCACAAAGGCGACGAUCCCUAGCUGGUCUGAGAGGAUGAUCAGCCACACUGGAACUGAGACACGGUCCAGACUCCUACGGGAGGCAGCAGUGGGGAAUAUUGCACAAUGGGGGAAACCCUGAUGCAGCCAUGCCGCGUGUGUGAAGAAGGCCUUCGGGUUGUAAAGCACUUUCAGCGAGGAGGCGUUACUCGCAGAAGAAGCACCGGCUAACUCCGUGCCAGCCGCCGCGGUAAUUC